GCUUCCGGCCACACCUCCCUGAGCACGUCCCGAUCCUCGUCUGAUCUCGGAAGCUAAGCAGGGUCGGGACCCGGUUAGUACUUGGAUGGAGACCGCCUGGGAAUACAGGUGCUGUAAGCC
rnacentral:rRNA from 1 species